rnacentral:rRNA from 1 species
GGGCGGGGGCGGUCCUAUACAUGCAAGUCGAGCGAAUGGAUUAAGAGCUUGCUCUUAUGAAGUUAGCGGCGGACGGGUGAGUAACACGUGGGUAACCUGCCCAUAAGACUGGGAUAACUCCGGGAAACCGGGGCUAAUACCGGAUAACAUUUUGAACCGCAUGGUUCGAAAUUGAAAGGCGGCUUCGGCUGUCACUUAUGGAUGGACCCGCGUCGCAUUAGCUAGUUGGUGAGGUAACGGCUCACCAAGGCAACGAUGCGUAGCCGACCUGAGAGGGUGAUCGGCCACACUGGGACUGAGACACGGCCCAGACUCCUACGGGAGGCAGCAGUAGGGAAUCUUCCGCAAUGGACGAAAGUCUGACGGAGCAACGCCGCGUGAGUGAUGAAGGCUUUCGGGUCGUAAAACUCUGUUGUUAGGGAAGAACAAGUGCUAGUUGAAUAAGCUGGCACCUUGACGGUACCUAACCAGAAAGCCACGGCUAACUACGUGCCAGCAGCCGCGGUAAUACGUAGGUGGCAAGCGUUAUCCGGAAUUAUUGGGCGUAAAGCGCGCGCAGGUGGUUUCUUAAGUCUGAUGUGAAAGCCCACGGCUCAACCGUGGAGGGUCAUUGGAAACUGGGAGACUUGAGUGCAGAAGAGGAAAGUGGAAUUCCAUGUGUAGCGGUGAAAUGCGUAGAGAUAUGGAGGAACACCAGUGGCGAAGGCGACUUUCUGGUCUGUAACUGACACUGAGGCGCGAAAGCGUGGGGAGCAAACAGGAUUAGAUACCCUGGUAGUCCACGCCGUAAACGAUGAGUGCUAAGUGUUAGAGGGUUUCCGCCCUUUAGUGCUGAAGUUAACGCAUUAAGCACUCCGCCUGGGGAGUACGGCCGCAAGGCUGAAACUCAAAGGAAUUGACGGGGGCCCGCACAAGCGGUGGAGCAUGUGGUUUAAUUCAAACCACCGCGAAGAACCUUACCAGGUCUUGACAUCCUCUGAAAACCCUAGAGAUAGGGCUUCUCCUUCCGCAGCAGAGUGACAGGUGGUGCAUGGUUGUCGUCACCUCCGCUCCUGAGAUGUUGGGUUAAGUCCCGCACCAACGCAACCUUUGAUCUUAGUUGCCAUCAUUAAUUUGGCCCUCUAAGGGACUGCCGGUGACAACCGCAAAAAAAGUGGGGAUGACGUCGAAUCAUCAGCCCCUUAUAACUGGCCUACCCCGGGCCCAAUGGACGGUAAAAAAGUUGCAAAACCCCGGGGGGAACUAUUCCUAAAAACGUUUUCCCUUCCAAUUUAGGCGCCCCCCCCCCCUUGAAACUGAAAACCUUGAAACCGAAAAAC